GUCUAGGGCCAUACCACCCUGGACAUGCCCGAUCUCAUCUGAUCUUGGAAGCUAAGCAAGUUUGGGCCUGGAUGGGAGGUUGUACUUGGAUGGGAGACCGCCUGGGAAUAGCGGGUGCUGCCCCAGGCC
rnacentral:rRNA from 1 species